GACGAACGCUGGCGGCGUGCCUAACACAUGCAAGUCGAACGGAAAGGCCCUGCUUUUGUGGGGUGCUCGAGUGGCGAACGGGUGAGUAACACGUGAGUAACCUGCCCUUGACUUUGGGAUAACUUCAGGAAACUGGGGCUAAUACCGGAUAGGAGCUCCUGCUGCAUGGGGGGGGUUGGAAAGUUUCGGCGGUGGGGGAUGGACUCGCGGCUUAUCAGCUUGUUGGUGGGGUAGUGGCUUCCCAAGGUUUUGACGGGUAGCCGGCCUGGGAGGGUGACCGGCCACAUUGGGACUGCGGUACGGCCCAGACUCCUACGGGAGGCAGCAGUGGGGAGUAUUGCACAGUGGGCGGGAGCCUGAUGCAGCAGCGCCGCGUGCGGGAUGACGGCCUUCGGGUUGUAAACCGCUUUCGCCUGUGACGAAGCGUGAGUGACGGUAAUGGGUAAAGAAGCACCGGCUAACUACGUG
rnacentral:rRNA from 1 species